GGGGGUGACAUGGCUUCGACGGGGGUUACAAAGCAAUAAAGUGCAUACCGUGAUCGCAGUCGCACGUUAAACAUUGUGUAAAUUAAAUGCAAAAACUAAAUUUGCAAACAUGGUGGCGUCUAACGACGAAACUAUGUUACAAGUAGCUUAGUAUCUACUUGCGCUGUCUUAAUUUGUCUAUCAGUUAAAUCACAGUGUCAUAUUAGAUAGACUGUGAUAUAUUUUGACUACUUAAAUAUAUCAAGACUUAUGUAGUUAGUUAUUAUUAAUCUUGUAUAGUAGAGCUAAUGAUAACGAACAAGAAAACUAUACUAAGUAUGUAGGACUAAUUGUAGAGGGCUUUCGGACGCGGGUUCAAUUCCCGCCACCUCCACCA
rnacentral:tmRNA from 1 species